GAUGAAGAACGCAGCGAAAUGCGAUACUUGGUGUGAAUUGCAGAAUCCCGUGAACCAUCGAGUCUUUGAACGCAAGUUGCGCCUCAAGCCAUUAGGUUGAGGGCACGUCUGCCUGGGCGUCACAUAUCGUUGCCUGAUGCCAGUUUCCUCGUGAUGGGUGACUGUGCAGGGCGAAUGAUGGCUUCCCGUGAGCAUUGUUGCCUCAUGGUUGGUUGAAAAUUGAGUCCUUGGUAGGGAGCGCCGUGAUAGAUGGUGGUUGAGUGACGAACGAGACCCAAUCAUGUGCGACCCCUACCGAAUUUGGCCUUCAUGACCCACAUGCGUCUUUGGAACGCUCAUGACGAGACCUCAGGUCAGGCGGGGCUACCCGCUGAGUUUAAGCAUAUCAAUAAGCGGAGGA
rnacentral:misc_RNA from 1 species